rnacentral:lncRNA from 1 species
ACGCCUCGUCUCAUUUGCAGCAACCAUGGCCUUCAAGCCUCUCCUCCUCCUCCUCAUCUCUUCCCUUCCCCUUAUCUCCUCUCGUUCGGAGCUGCAUGACUACCCGCCGUUGGCGGAUGGGCUGGCGUGGGAAUUCUACGACGACACCUGCCACGACCUCGAGUCCAUCGUCCGCGCCCACCUGCGUUCGGUGUUCGACAGCGACGUCGGCCUUGCCGCCGGCCUCCUCCGGG